CCUACGGGAGGCAGCAGUGAGGAAUAUUGGGCAAUGGGCGGGAGCCUGAACCAGCCAAGCCGCGUGAGGGAAGAAGGUACAGCGUUUCGUAAACCUCUUUUGUCAGGGAACAAAGGCGGGGACUAGUCCCCGGAUGAGGGUACCUGAAGAAAAAGCAUCGGCUAACUCCGUGCCAGCAGCCGCGGUAAUACGGGGGAUGCGAGCGUUUUCCGGAUUUAUUGGGUUAAAGGGGUGCGCAGGGGGCCUGUUAAGUCAGCGGUAAAACCCCGGGGUUCAACCCCGGCGAGCCGUUGAAACUGGCGGGCUUGAGUUGGAGAGAGGUACGCGGAAUGCGCGGUGUAGCGGUGAAAUGCUUAGAUAUCGCGCAGAACCCCGAUUGCGAAGGCAGCGUGCCGGCUCCACACUGACGCUGAGGCACGAAAGCGUGGGUAUCGAACAGGAUUAGAUACCCUGGUAGUC
rnacentral:rRNA from 1 species